AACGAUCAUUACCAGCAAAAGGGGUAAAUGAAAGAUGACUCGUCGGGAUACAUUGCUUUGUCAGAAUAAUCAUCCGAGAGAUAUAUCACUAGUUAUUGGGAGAUAUACUCAAAAGGAUGAAGGAAUAUCAAUAUCGAAUAUUGGAUAAAGAUAACCAACAAGAAGGGGAUUACGUCUACUGGUUAUUGGGUAGAAAACCAACGAAGUAGGACUUACAACUACCGGAUACUGGGCAGAAGGCCAGACAACUCCGCCCAGGAAAAGAUGGACAAUU
rnacentral:lncRNA from 1 species